GCCAAGUUAGUUUAGUGGUAAAACAACGCAAUGGUAAUGCGUCGCCGCGAGUUCGAUUCUCGCACUCGGCACCA
rnacentral:tRNA from 1 species